GGGGCUAUAGCUCAGCUGGGAGAGCGCUUGCAUGGCAUGCAAGAGGUCAGCGGGUUCGAUCCCGCUUAGCUCCACCA
rnacentral:tRNA from 1 species